UUGCAGUGAUGACUUUUCUUAUCUGUCAAUCCCCUGAGUGCAGUCACUGAUGUCUCUGUGUCUCUGAGCAA
rnacentral:snoRNA from 13 species